AUAACAUUUGGGCCGCCGGUCUACCGAGCAAUAUUACCCGCUCGGUGGAAGAUCUUCCCUUCGUCAU
rnacentral:pre_miRNA from 1 species